rnacentral:rRNA from 1 species
UAGUCCACGCCGUAAACGAUGAGCACUAGAUGUUGCGGGUAUUGACCCCUGCAGUGUCGCAGCUAACGCAUUAAGUGCUCCGCCUGGGAAGUACGGCCGCAAGGUUAAAACUCAAAGGAAUUGACGGGGGCCCGCACAAGCGGUGGAGCAUGUGGUUUAAUUCGAUGCAACGCGAAGAACCUUACCUGGGUUUAACAUCCCCAGACAGCCCUAGAGAUAGGGUUUUGUCUUCGGACACUGGGUGAUAGGUGCUGCAUGGCUGUCGUCAGCUCGUAUCGUGAGAUGUCGGGUUAAGUCCCUUAACGAGCGCAACCCUUAUCCUUAGUUGCUACCAUUUAGUUGGGCACUCUAGGGAGACCGCCGGUGUUAAACCGGAGGAAGGUGGGGAUGACGUCAAGUCCUCAUGGCCCUUAUGUCCAGGGCUACACACGUGCUACAAUGGCCGGUACAGAUGGUUGCCAACCCGCGAGGGGGAGCUAAUCCAAAAAACCGGUCUCAGUCCGGAUUGGAGUCUGCAAUUCGACUCC